UACGAAGGGUGCAAGCGUUACUCGGAAUUACUGGGCGUAAAGCGUGCGUAGGUGGUUUGUUAAGUCUGAUGUGAAAGCCCUGGGCUCAACCUGGGAAUUGCAUUGGAUACUGGCAGGCUAGAGUGCGGUAGAGGAUGGCGGAAUUCCCGGUGUAGCAGUGAAAUGCGUAGAUAUCGGGAAGAACACCCGUGGCGAAGGCGGCACUCUGGGACGGUACUGACGCUGAGACGCGAAAGCGUGGGGAGCGAACAGG
rnacentral:rRNA from 1 species